UACGGGGGGGGCGAAGCGUUGUUCGGAAUUACUGGGCGUAAAGGGCUCGUAGGCGGCCAACUAAGUCAGACGUGAAAUCCCUCAGCUUAACUGGGGAACUGCGUCUGAUACUGGAUGGCUUGGAUUUGGGAGAGGAAUGCGGAAUUCCAGGUGUAGCGGUGAAAUGCGCAGAUAUCAGGAAGAACACCCGUGGCGAAGGCGGCUCUCUGGGACGUGACUGACGCUGAGACGCGAAAGCGUGGGGAGCGAACAGG
rnacentral:rRNA from 1 species